GUUUAUCUUCAGAGUGAAGUAAAUCUGAACAACAGUCCCUUUUGUUCAAACAAAUAUCAUCUGAUUUCUUCUUCUUGAGGAUCAUGAUGGCUACUUUGAGGAGGCAGAGAUGUGUCCAUGGACCCAACUGGACUGACAAGAAGACAGUCAAGAUGUUGAACGUAUUUGCCAGAUUGGAGCAGAGAAUGGUAGCCUGGCCCAGGAACUUCAUUUUGAUUGAAAUGUGAAACUGAAUUGUGAGGCAACAUUGACAAAGGAAAGGGAUCUACUACACUGGAAUGCAGGUUUGUUACCAGUAUGAUGACCUGCAUCAGAGUAAUUCUGUGGAGCUUUGUAAGAGGGUCAACGAGGUGUGGAGGAAGCCCGUAGAUACCUACAACAAUGAGGACUGCAGUUGGAACAGAACGAUAUGCAUCGAGCAGAUGCACAGGCUUAAAAGCAGUGGAGGGAGAGAGGU